rnacentral:rRNA from 1 species
UCUCUUGACGUUAGCAACAGAAGAAGCACCGGCUAACUCCGUGCCAGCAGCCGCGGUAAUACGGAGGGUGCGAGCGUUAAUCGGAAUUACUGGGCGUAAAGCGCAUGCAGGUGGUUCAUUAAGUCAGAUGUGAAAGCCCGGGGCUCAACCUCGGAACUGCAUUUGAAACUGGUGAACUAGAGUACUGUAGAGGGGGGUAGAAUUUCAGGUGUAGCGGUGAAAUGCGUAGAGAUCUGAAGGAAUACCAGUGGCGAAGGCGGCCCCCUGGACAGAUACUGACACUCAGAUGCGAAAGCGUGGGGAGCAAACAGGAUUAGAUACCCUGGUAGUCCACGCCGUAAACGAUGUCUACUUGGAGGUUGUGGCCUUGAGCCGUGGCUUUCGGAGCUAACGCGUUAAGUAGACCGCCUGGGGAGUACGGUCGCAAGAUUAAAACUCA